UACGUAGGGGCCUAGCGUUGUCCGGAAUUACUGGGCGUAAAGAGCUCGUAGGCGGUUUGUCGCGUCGUCUGUGAAAACCAGCAGCUCAACUGCUGGCUUGCAGGCGAUACGGGCAGACUUGAGUACUGCAGGGGAGACUGGAAUUCCUGGUGUAGCGGUGAAAUGCGCAGAUAUCAGGAGGAACACCGGUGGCGAAGGCGGGUCUCUGGGCAGUAACUGACGCUGAGGAGCGAAAGCGUGGGUAGCGAACAGG
rnacentral:rRNA from 1 species